rnacentral:lncRNA from 13 species
CCCUAAUCAUAAGUGUUGCACUCUCCUAUAGCGCACCCACAUCUAGAGAAGCAACAAGCAUAAGAAAGUGAAACUGACUACAAUGGAUUUGGGAUAUGGGCACCUUCCUUCAGCAAGGAGGCAAAUCUGGAUGCAGACACAGACAAGCACACAGAAAGAAUACUAUGUAAAGAAUGGAGUUAUGUUGACACAAGCAAAGGAACUACCGUAGAAGCUAAGAGAAGCCUGGAACAGAUACUUUUCCAGAAUCUUCAGAGAAAGCAUGGGCCCACUGCUGUCUUCAUUUCAGACUUCUGGCCCCUAGAAGUACUUUUCAUGAAAGCCUAAGAUAGAUUACCAGAGACUAAAGACGGCACAGAAGGGAAGAAUGUGAGCUAUACAGGUGACACUUUGAAUAAGUUUGCUUUGGAGAAAGCAGAACAGAGUGUGAAGAUGGACUUGAAAAAGAAAGAAUGAAUCUCUCUGUCUCUCUCUUGGUUAAGGUAUGAUUUAC